rnacentral:rRNA from 1 species
UACAACUUUCAGCAGUGGAUGUCUAGGCUCGCACAUCGAUGAAGAACGCUGCGAACUGCGAUACGUAAUGCGAAUUGCAGGAUUCAGUGAGUCAUCGAAAUUUUGAACGCAUAUUGCACUUCCGGGUUAGUCCUGGA